UGUGUUCUUGCAAGACCCUCUCAGGUUUGUUUUCAAAGCAUUCUUUAUAUACAUUGUCUGAUUAUAAAAGUGGAUUUUUCUAAUUUCUUACAGUUGCUUGAAACAGAUUCUACAUACCAUUUUCCUAUCAUGUAUCAUGUGCAAAGCUGACAGAUGUUGAAUGGAAAGAAAGGUCUACAGAAGGCUUUUUUUCUACCCCAAAGGAAUUAAGGAAGAAAUGACAAUUCACUAAGAGAGAUAACUCUAAAUGCUCCCUUGCUUUCUUAAGAGGAUUUUUGUCCCAAGCAUCAUUGUUUAAAAUAUUUCCAAAGCCCAGCCAAUUGUUUUUAUGAGGAACCAGAAACAGAUCGUAAUGGAGCAAUAUAGACCUGCUUUUAGUAUUACAUGUAAUAUAACUCCAUUCCCAUGACCAAAUACAGGUUUUCAAGUUGCAUAAAGAACAUGGCCUACUUUAAGUACGAAUAAGUAUAAAAAAUAAUUCUUUUGGUAAUUUUGGACAGGAAAUUGUAUUAUUAAGGUAGAAUGUUAAGAGAGUUCAACUGCACAUGGGAAUCCUGAACCUGUGCAUAUUUUUGUAGUAGUGUGUGAUUCACUGCUUCCGAUUACAAGUAUGUUUCUUUUAUUGUUUUCAGUGACUAUUAUUAAACUAUUGGGAGAAAUAAAAAUAAAACUUGAAGUAGA